rnacentral:rRNA from 1 species
GAACGAUGAUGCCCACUUGUGGGUGGAUUAGUGGCGAACGGGUGAGUAACACGUGAGUAACCUGCCCUUGACUCUGGGAUAAGCCUGGGAAACUGGGUCUAAUACCGGAUAUGACCUUCCAUCGCAUGGUGGUUGGUGGAAAGCUUUUGUGGUUUUGGAUGGACUCGCGGCCUAUCAGCUUGUUGGUGGGGUAAUGGCCUACCAAGGCGACGACGGGCAGCCGGCCUGAGAGGGUGACCGGCCACACUGGGACUGAGACACGGCCCAGACUCCUACGGGAGGCAGCAGUGGGGAAUAUUGCACAAUGGGCGCAAGCCUGAUGCAGCGACGCCGCGUGAGGGAUGACGGCCUUCGGGUUGUAAACCUCUUUCAGUAGGGAAGAAGCGAAAGUGACGGUACCUGCAGAAGAAGCGCCGGCUAACUACGUGCCAGCAGCCGCGGUAAUACGUAGAGCGCAAGCGUUAUCCGGAAUUAUUGGGCGUAAAGAGCUCGUAGGCGGUUUGUCGCGUCUGCCGUGAAAGUCCGGGGCUCAACUCCGGAUCUGCGGUGGGUACGGGCAGACUGGAGUGAUGUAGGGGAGACUGGAAUUCC